UACGUAGGUGGCAAGCGUUGUCCGGAUUGACUGGGCGUAAAGAGCGCGCAGGCGGUCGUUCAAGGCGCGUGUGAAAGCCCCCGGCUCAACUGGGGAGGGUCACGCGAUACUGAUCGACUCGAAGGCAGGAGAGGGUAGUGGAAUUCCCGGUGUAGUGGUGAAAUGCGUAGAUAUCGGGAGGAACACCAGUGGCGAAGGCGACUACCUGGCCUGUUCUUGACGCUGAGGCGCGAAAGCUAGGGGAGCAAACGGG
rnacentral:rRNA from 1 species